AACGCACCUUGCACUCUUUGGUAUUCCGAAGAGUAUGUCUGUUUGAGUGUCGUGAACCUCUCAACCCCCCUAUCUUGUAAUGAGAUAGACUUGUGGGCUUGGAUUAUGGCUGCCUGUCGGUUUAAUAAGCCGGCUCAGCUGAAAUACACGAGCAACCCAAUUGAAAAGCGACGGCUUGACUCAGCGUAAUAAUUAUUUCGCUGAGGACGUCUGUAUUUCAGAUAGUGGUGCUUCUAAUGCAUAUCUACUUAAGCUUUAGACCUCAAAUCAGGCAGGACUACCCGCUGAACUUAA
rnacentral:misc_RNA from 1 species